CCUACGGGAGGCAGCAGUGAGGAAUAUUGGACAAUGGGCGCAAGCCUGAUCCAGCCAUGCCGCGUGCAGGAUGACGGUCCUAUGGAUUGUAAACUGCUUUUAUACGAGAAGAAACACUCCGACGUGUCGGAGCUUGACGGUAUCGUAAGAAUAAGGAUCGGCUAACUCCGUGCCAGCAGCCGCGGUAAUACGGAGGAUCCAAGCGUUAUCCGGAAUCAUUGGGUUUAAAGGGUCCGUAGGCGGUUUAAUAAGUCAGUGGUGAAAGCCCAUCGCUCAACGGUGGAACGGCCAUUGAUACUGUUAAACUUGAAUUAUUAGGAAGUAACUAGAAUAUGUAGUGUAGCGGUGAAAUGCUUAGAGAUUACAUGGAAUACCAAUUGCGAAGGCAGGUUACUACUAAUUGAUUGACGCUGAUGGACGAAAGCGUGGGUAGCGAACAGGAUUAGAUACCCUGGUAGUCCACGCCGUAAACGAUGGAUACUAGCUGUUGGGAGCAAUCUCAGUGGCUAAGCGAAAGUGAUAAGUAUCCCACCUGGGGAGUACGUUCGCAAGAAUGAAACUUAAAUGAAUUGACGG
rnacentral:rRNA from 1 species